rnacentral:rRNA from 1 species
GACGAAGGAUCCAAGCGUUAUCCGGAUUUAUUGGGUUUAAAGGGUGCGUAGGCGGAUUGAUAAGUCAGUGGUGAAAGCCUGCAGCUUAACUGCAGAACUGCCAUUGAUACUGUCAAUCUUGAAUAUGGUUGAUGUGGGCGGAAUAUGACAUGUAGCGGUGAAAUGCUUAGAUAUGUCAUAGAACACCGAUUGCGAAAGGCAGCUCACAAAAGCCAUUUAUUGACGCUGAGGCACGAAAAGCGUGGGG